UAUAUACUCCCUCCGUCCGAGAAUACUUGUCAUCAAAAUGAAUAAAAAGAGAUGUAUCUAGAACUAAAAUACAUCUAGAUACAUCCCCUUUUAUCCAUUUUGAUGACAAGUAUUUCCGGACGGAGGGAGUAGGAA
rnacentral:pre_miRNA from 1 species